ensembl:piRNA 21ur-2770 ncRNA
UAAGUCACUGCUUCUGAAUUU